rnacentral:rRNA from 1 species
AGUAAAUUGGUUAAGUUAGAAAGGGCGCACGGUGGAUGCCUUGGCACUAGGAGCCGAAGAAGGACGGGACUAACACCGAUAUGCUUUGGGGAGCUGUACGUAAGCGUUGAUCCAGAGAUUUCCGAAUGGGGGAACCCACUAUCUUUAGUCGGAUAGUAUCCUUACGUGAAUACAUAGCGUGAGGAAGGCAGACCCAGGGAACUGAAACAUCUAAGUACCUGGAGGAAGAGAAAGAAAAAUCGAUUUCCUGAGUAGCGGCGAGCGAAACGGAAAGAGCCCAAACCAAGAAGCUUGCUUCUUGGGGUUGUAGGACACUCUAUACGGAGUUACAAAAGAAAGUUAUAAAUGAAGCGGUCUGGAAAGGCCCGCCAAAGACGGUAACAGCCCGGUAGUUGAAAUGGCUUUCCCUCCAGAGUGGAUCCUGAGUAC